rnacentral:rRNA from 1 species
GUGAGGUAAAGGCUCACCUAGGCGACGAUCAGUAGCGGGUCUGAGAGGAUGAUCCGCCACACUGGGACUGAGACACGGCCCAGACUCCUACGGGAGGCAGCAGUGGGGAAUUUUGGACAAUGGGCGCAAGCCUGAUCCAGCCAUGCCGCGUGUCUGAAGAAGGCCUUCGGGUUGUAAAGGACUUUUGUCAGGGAGGAAAUCCCUAGCGCUAAUAUCGCUGGGGGAUGACAGUACCUGAAGAAUAAGCACCGGCUAACUACGUGCCAGCAGCCGCGGUAAUACGUAGGGUGCAAGCGUUAAUCGGAAUUACUGGGCGUAAAGCGUGCGCAGGCGGUUGUGUAAGUCUGAUGUGAAAGCCCCGGGCUUAACCUGGGAACUGCAUUGGGGACUGCACAGCUAGAGUGCGUCAGAGGGGGGUAGAAUUCCGCGUGUA